rnacentral:rRNA from 1 species
UGAACGCUAGCGGCAGGCUUAACACAUGCAAGUCGAGGGCAUCGGGAGUAGCAAUACUGCCGGCGACCGGCGCAAGGGUGCGUAACGCGUGAGCAACAUGCCCGUAUCAGGGGGAUAAUCCAUGGAAACGUGGUCUAAUACCCCAUAGUAAUUAUGUAAGGCAUCUUAUAUAAUUUAAAGCUUUGGUGGAUACGGAUUGGCUCGCGUGACAUUAGCUGGAUGGUAAGGUAACGGCUUACCAUGGCUACGAUGUCUAGGGGUUCUGAGAGGAAGGUCCCCCACACUGGAACUGAGACACGGUCCAGACUCCUACGGGAGGCAGCAGUGAGGAAUAUUGGACAAUGGAUGGAAAUCUGAUCCAGCCAUGCCGCGUGCAGGAAGACGGCCCUAUGGGUUGUAAACUGCUUUUGUAUGGGAGCAAUAAGGGCUACGUGUAGUCCGAUGAGAGUACCAUACGAAUAAGCACCGGCUAACUCCGUGCCAGCAGCCGC